rnacentral:misc_RNA from 1 species
CAAGAUCACUGUGGCCAUCUGUUCUCCGUUGGAUCCCCACUUCCACAGACCACAUCAUCGCCGCCGAGAAACGCCUUCUUUCGCUUGUCAAGACUCCUUAUGUUCAAGAACAAGUUAACAUAGGUUCAGGCCCUCCGGGGUCCAAAGUGAGGUGGUUUCGUUCUGCUAGUAAUGAGCCGCGGUUCAUUAACACGGUUACCUUCGACAGCAAAGAGGACUCGCCCACUCUCGUAAUGGUCCACGGAUAUGCAGCUUCUCAAGGUUUUUUCUUUCGGAAUUUUGAUGCUCUCGCUAGUCGUUUCAAGGUCAUUGCUGUUGAUCAGCUUGGCUGGGGUGGAUCAAGCAGACCUGAUUUUACCUGCAAAAGCACUGAAGAAACUGAGGCAUGGUUCAUUGACUCCUUUGAGGAAUGGCGAAAAGCCAAAAACCUCAGCAACUUCAUAUUACUUGGGCAUUCUUUUGGAGGAUAUGUUGCUGCUAAAUAUGCACUCAAGCAUCCUGAGCAUGUUCAGCAUUUGAUUUUGGUGGGACCUGCUGGAUUUUCAUCAGAAUCCGAAGCUAAGUCUGAGUGGAUUACCCGAUUCAGAGCAACAUGGAAGGGAGCAAUUUUGAAUCAUUUGUGGGAGUCUAAUUUUACUCCUCAGAAGGUUAUUCGAGGCUUAGGUCCUUGGGGCCCAGAUCUCGUACGCAGGUACACAAGUGCUAGAUUUGGUGCUUAUUCAAGUGGAGAGUUAUUAACUGAGGAGGAGUCGAAAUUGCUAACAGACUAUGUGUACCAUACUUUAGCAGCUAAAGCAAGUGGAGAGCUAUGCUUGAAAUAUAUAUUUUCUUUUGGAGCAUUUGCUCGGAUGCCCCUUCUAAAAAGUGCAUCAGAGUGGAAAGUGCCAACUACUUUCAUAUAUGGCAUUCAAGAUUGGAUGAACUAUCAAGGGGCCCAAGAAGCUCGAAAGCACAUGAAGGUUCCAUGUGAAAUCAUUAGAGUUCCCCAGGGUGGGCACUUUGUCUUCAUAGACAACCCAAACGGGUUUCAUUCAUCUGUGUUCUAUGCUUGCCGGAGGUUUCUUUCACCUAAUCUUGAUAGUGAAUCUCUUCCCGAAGGUCUGACAUCUGCCUAGGAAGUUUGCUAUAAUUUUUUUAGCCCAUUUGUGUAUAAUUUAUCUCAAGGGUUUCCAUUAGAAUUCAAGUUGAAAAAUCACAUUAAUUUU